rnacentral:rRNA from 1 species
AGUGAACGCUGGCGGUAGGCCUAACACAUGCAAGUCGAACGGCAGCACAGUAAGAGCUUGCUCUUACGGGUGGCGAGUGGCGGACGGGUGAGGAAUACAUCGGAAUCUACUUUUUCGUGGGGGAUAACGUAGGGAAACUUACGCUAAUACCGCAUACGACCUACGGGUGAAAGCAGGGGAUCUUCGGACCUUUCGCGAUUGAAUGAGCCGAUGUCGGAUUAGCUAGUUGGCGGGGUAAAGGCCCACCAAGGCGACGAUCCGUAGCUGGUCUGAGAGGAUGAUCAGCCACACUGGAACUGAGACACGGUCCAGACUCCUACGGGAGGCAGCAGUGGGGAAUAUUCGACAAUGGGCGCAAGCCUGAUCCAGCCAUACCGCGUGGGUGAAGAAGGCCUUCGGGUUGUAAAGCCCUUUUGUUGGGAAAGAAAAGCAGCAGGUUAAUACCCCGCUGUUCUGACGGUACCCAAAGAAUAAGCACCGGCUAACUUCGUG